CUCAAAUGAUGAUUCACAUUCUUCAUGGUCCGUGUUUUUGAAAUAAUUUGAUAACAAUGAAGAUCUGAUGAG